rnacentral:piRNA from 1 species
GGAACUUACUUUUUAGUGGUAAAAAAUGGC